rnacentral:rRNA from 1 species
UACGUAGGGGGCAAGCGUUGUCCGGAUUUAUUGGGCGUAAAGAGCGUGUAGGCGGCCAGAUAGGUCCGUUGUGAAAACUGGAGGCUUAACCUCCAGCGGUCGAUGGAAACCAUUUGGCUAGAGUCCGGAAGAGGAGAGUGGAAUUCCUGGUGUAGCGGUGAAAUGCGCAGAUAUCGGGAGGAACACCAAUGGCGAAAGCAGGUAACUGGACUAUUACUGACACUCAACUGCGAAAGCUAGGGGAGCAAACAGG